CCUACGGGUGGCAGCAGUGGGGGAUAUUGCACAAUGGGGGGAACCCUGAUGCAGCGACGCCGCGUGGGUGAAGGAGCGUUUCGGCGCGUAAAGCCCUAUCGGCAGGGAAGAAGGAGGACGGUACCUGACUAAGAUGCCCCGGCUAACUACGUGCCAGCAGCCGGGGUACUUCGGAGGGGGCACGGGUUAACCGGAUUUACUGGGUGUAAAGGGGGCGCAGACGGGAGCGCAAGCGAGGAGUGAAAGCCCGGGGGCCAACCACGGGACUGCUCUUGGAACUGCGCGGCUUGAGUGCAGGAGGGGCAGGCGGAAUUCCUGGUGUAGCGGUGAAAUGCGUAGAUAUCAGGAGGAACACCGAUGGCGAAGGCAGCCUGCUGGACUGCGACUGACGUUGAGGCCCGAAAGCGUGGGGAUCAAACAGGAUUAGAUACCCGGGUAGUC
rnacentral:rRNA from 1 species